CUUGCAUCUUGGCAUGUCUUAGCCAAGCAAGGUCUCCUUGCCCAUGGCACCCCAUGGCAAGAGACAACAUAUUUGUACCAAAAUGUGUAUUUAUCUAUACUUGGAAUGUAAUGUAUCAUUCCCAAGACGUAUCCAUCCAAGCUCCCUUAUUCUUCCAACCUCUCUCAUGUCUUGCAACCAACCUAAUUACUUCCGCUGCAACACGUUGACGUAGUGCUUGGUGCACUACCCCUUCCCGAAAGGCUUACUUGGCUACGUGGGCAUUAUAGUUAGCCAAGUGCCGCACGUAUGGUUAGCUUCAGACUCUAACCACGUGAAACUACGCCGCUCUGACUCUUCAUGACGAUGGAAUCCUAAUCACUGCGGAAAAGAUUGCAGCCGUUGUAGCAGCUGCAAGGCUCUAUGUGGAAUCUUACUGGCCUAGCUUGUUUGCUAAAUUGGCGGCGAAGAGGAACAUUGGGAACCUUCUUCUUAAUGUUGGUUGUGGAGGUGGCGCUGCGGCUCCCGUGGCUGUAGCUGCUCCUACUGCCAGUGCUGCUGUCGUGCCUCCCAUCGAGGAAAAGAGGGUAUGCGGAUGAAUUUUUAACUUUUCUUCAUUUUAAAGAACUUUUGCUGUAACUUCCCAUUUACGCAUGAUUUUGAAUAAAGAUUGAACUGUUCAACGGUUGCCAA